rnacentral:SRP_RNA from 1 species
GCCAGGCAUGGUGGCUCAUGCCUGUAAUCCCAGCACUUUGGGAGGCUGAGGCGGGUGGAUCACUUGAGGCUAGGAGUUCGAGACCAGCCUGGCCAACAUGGUGAAAUCCCGUCUCUA